CUAUGCAUGCAGUCGCACGCAGGCCUUCGGGUCUGAGUGGCGCACGGCUGAGGAACACGUAUGUUAUCUACCCCGGGGUGGGGGACAACCCGGCGAAAGCCGGGCUAAUCCCGCAUAGGCUCUGCGGAGGAAAGCGCGGCAACGCGCGCCCUGGGAUGAGCGUGCGGCCCAUCAGGUCGUUGGUGGGGUAACGGCCUACCAAGCCGAUGACGGGUCGCUGGUCUGCGAGGACGACCAGCCAGACUGGGACUAAGACACGGCCCAGACUCCUACGGGAGGCAGCAGCAAGGAAUUUUCGGCAAUGGGCUCACGCCUGACCGAGCAACGCCGCGUGGAGGAUGACGGCUUUCGGGUUGUAAACUCCUUUUGCCAGGGAAGAUACGGACGGUACCUGGCGAAUAAGCCCCGGCUAACUCUGUGCCAGCAGCCGCGGUAAUACAGAGGGGGCAAGCGUUAUCCGGAUUUACUGGGCGUAAAGGGUGUGUAGGCGGUGAGAUAGGUGUCGCGUUCCAGCGUGCGGCUUAACUGCACGAGUGCGCGGCAAACCCUUUCACUCGAGGGGUGCAGAGGUUGGUGGAAUUGCCAGUGUAGCAGUGAAAUGCGUAGAGAUUGGCAGGAACACCAAGGGCGCAAGCAGCCAACUGGGCACCUUCUGACGCUGAGGCACGAGAGCGUGGGGAGCAAACAGGAUUAGAUACCCUGGUAGUCCACGCCAUAAACGAUGUCUGCUCGCGACGUGCGGUUAUCCAUACCGCUGGGUCGCUUAGCUCACGCGGGAGCAGACCGCCUGGGACUACGAGCGCAAGCUAAACUCAAGAUGACGGGGCCGCACAGCAGCGGAGCGUGUG
rnacentral:rRNA from 1 species